GGACCAAUCAGAUCGCUCGUUGCUUUCGCUCUCCGGUUUCGGAAGGUUGAGAAAAGUCAAAAAAGUAAAAAAAAACACAGAUAAAGCCAUUCACACACACAGACACACACACACGCAGGAACGGUGCAAGAUGUUGAGAGAUUGUACUUUAAAGUGUUGUAGAAAAUAUACCCGCGCCUAAUUUGGUUUAAUUUCUUAACUUGGAAACCUAGGUAAGUUUGAAAAGAAAACAAUUAUCACAGAUUCCCAUUUUAUAGCCUUUUCUCUCUCCCCCCAAUUAUCAUUCUAAUAAUUACUAUCCAUGUUGAUCAAAUGUCUAUCUUGUCUAUCACAAUUUCUCCCCCCCCCGUCUUCCAUCUAUUUGUGUGUAUAUUUAUGUAUUUAUAUAUAUAUAUAUAUAUAUAUACUAUAAUACUACAGUGAUUGAUGUGUGGUAGGUUAUAUUGAGACUGUGUUUUCUCUGUGUAAUGUGUCUGUGGCGAAACUCCAGCAUGGCUUAAAGAGAAGCUCAACGGUUUCAAUCGAGUGAGGGACAAUAUUAUUAUUGUGUGACUGAAAUAUAAAGCUUCAGAUGUGACUUGAUAGAAAUACAGUAGUUUUGUACAAGUAUUGCUAGAAACACACUGAAUUGCUUUAUAUAAAAGUAUUUCCUGUGUGUAUAUAUAAUUAAGCUGGUGCUCGGUGGAUAUAGAAGUAAUUACUUCGCUCAAUUCGCUAUUUCUUUAUAUGUUUGUUUAUUAAGGAUGAAAAUCGUUUCAUCUUCGUUGUCAUUUAUCUAUUUUUAUUUCAAUGUAAUUAUAUUUAGUAAAACAAUCGACAACUAUUACAAUCAACACGCAAAUCUAUCUUUAAAUGACUUAACAAAAGAAAUGAAACAGUUUUUUUUUCCCUUCUUUUUGUCUGUGUACCAACUUAAUUUAACUGAAAUUAAACCCCACGUGAAUUUUCGAAUAUUUUGUGAUUUGAUAUAUUUCCCUCACUGACGGCUGUCUGGACUAGUUUGACAGAAUAAAGUAGAUUCUGAGAGAUAGAGAGACAGACAGAUGGACAGGAAGAGAAUGAUAAAAUAAAAGAAAAUUCGAGAGAAGGAGAAAAGAAGAGGAGAGAGAUGGAGAUAGAGGAGUAAAAGACCAGCAGCUGGACAAAAAGAGGACAAGGGAAGUGAGAGAGGAUGAGAGAGUAAAAGAUGGAGAAAGGUGAGGUUUAUAAAAGGACGAAGAAGGGGGUAGAGAUAAGAGAACGAUCGGUGUAAGAAGAAGAAGAAGCAGAGGGUUUCGGGCAUCGAAGAGAUAGACAGAAAUGGGGGAUGUGGAGGAAGAGCAAGUAAAGUGGAAGGUAGGAGUUAUGAAUAGACAUUGGCGAAGGAGAGAAGCAUAUUGACAGAGGGAGAUUGUGUAUAGAAAUAGAGAUACAGGAGAAGAGUGUUUGAUAUAUAUAGAGAGGAAUAGAGACAAAAAUCGAGAGCCAAAUGAUUAAAUGAACGAUGGAUAAGAGACAAAGAAAGAUGAGUUAGUUUCAAGUGUAGAUCGGAAUGAAACGAGUGGAGGAAGUAGCGUGAAAAUGAAAGACAGAGAGAGAGAGAGAAAUGGUGAAAUGGAGAGUAAAAGGUUGGCUGUUUAUGGAGAGAAGUCAGCAGUGAGUUGACGACGAUCAACAACAGCACGUUAGACCAACAAUACUACACAAUUAUUUUCUACCAUACUACACACAUUUUGUACUGCUUUUAACGGAUAUGUUCAGAUUAGAUGCACACUCAUUCUUCCUCAUUGUCUACCAACACACACACACACAUGUACGCGCUAUUUUCUCAUUAUGAUCACAACCACAAAUAAGUGCUGCUCACUUUCCACAAAUGAUUUUAACCCGUUUUAAUUCGUAUUUUCUCAACUUGUUUAAUCCUGCAUUUCUCUACAAUAUAUAUACAUCCAUGCUCUGGCAACUAUUCACAUAUAUUUGCCUAAUUCAUUACUUGUAUAUAAACACGAUGAUACACACGUUGCUGCUCUCUUACACUGUAAACACAUCUCCAGCAAAAGGUGUCUUGGCAAAAUUUGCCAUCGUUUCUUUCAUUCCUUUAUCUUUAAAUGCACACACAUGCAUACACACACAGUGUUGAUAUUACCCGUAUAUCUCUGAUUGCAUACAUGUGGUGUAUGGGUUUUAUCUAAAGAGAUCACUCACUUCCCAUCCACAAAAUAUAGAAGAAAAAAAAAGAAGGCAUCGUAUUCGCAUGGUUUAUAUUCGUUUGUAUUAUUUCCCCUUCAUCCCCAAACACACACUGCAAAUUAAAAAGCGGGUCCUUUAGUCUCAGAGCAAAUAUAAUGUGAGAGGCAUAAAAACCUGCCAGAUUUUCCUGAGUGACAAACGCUUCUACAGCAAACGCACGGAGUGCACCGCUCCAGACCAUGAUAUGGGAACUGGGGGGAAAAAAAUAACAAACGAAUAAGCAAAUGGUAAACGGUAAAACAUAAUUAGCUCCAUGAAAACACUGUUAGUACUUGCUUGACUUCAUUAAUCUUAAUAUUGACCGAAAUAAGAACGGGAGGUUUUUCUGCCGCACCAUGCACCAGUCUCGUUCAUUUGUUCGUUUAUACUUUAAUUCCUUUAUAUCAGAAUGCACGUGCGCACACACACACACACUACACAUUGCCAUUAGUACUCUACUAAUGUAUCCCUUAUUCGAUAACACUCGCUUUUGGUGCUAGGGGCUUGAUUUCAGCGAAUUAGUCUAGCCUUCCCAUUUGCACCGGGGAAGGCCAGGAACACACACACACACGUACAAUACUAGACUGAACAUAUUUCUUUGUGAACAUUCCUCAUGUGAACUGUUUACUUUAUAUAAUUAUCCUUUCAUUUCUUCAUUGCAAAUAGCGACGGAUCUCUUUUAAGGGUCAAGCUUGUUUUUGUUUAACCCCCCCAGCUCAUUCCUGAUAGAGUUGGUUAAAAGGUGGAAGACAUCCAGUUUUAUUCAGUCAAACUCUAUCUAGGACAGUGGUUCGUCCAGCCGACUUCUUUUGUUGACAAAUCAAUGGCCAGUAUUUCUCUUAAAAUCGUUCGUAAUAGUAUUCAGAUGAAUUUCUGGUACAUCGAAAAAGAAUUUAGCCCCCUCUCCAUAUUACAUUACCCCGAUCAAUGAUCUCGCGUUUCCUUCAUAUUUUAAGACGGUUGUCUGUAAUUUGAGGGAGCUUUGCUGCUGUUUUUAACAUAUCAAGCGACCACGUUGAUUCUCUUCGCAUCAGUUCUUUGAUUUGAUGUUUGGCCUUGCUCGAGCAGAUUUCUGACGAAAGGUGUUCCAGUCAUGAUAAUUCUCUGUUUUCUUUAUCCUGUCAGUCAUCCUAGGGUUAUAUUAUCCAAUGUUUCUUUUUUAUUUUAUGAAAGCCCGAAGAUUUAGCUGGUAUUUCUAGCAAGUCGAAUGAACUCGUAGGGGUACCUUUGUUGGUUUGUAGUUCUUUGUUAUGGUGACAAAGUAGUGGUCGAUUGGUACAAAUCGGUGAAUUAUUUUCGUAAAGAUCAUCAGUGGAUUUAAAUUGACAGAAGUGUGAACUAAUGGACAGUCAGGUCACUU
rnacentral:lncRNA from 1 species